UCUAAUAUGGCAGAGCAGUGCUGUAGAUUUAAGCUCUACCUAGAAAGAUUAAUCUUUUAUUAGAA
rnacentral:tRNA from 1 species